UGGGUUUUCAAGCGGGGGCAGAUAUUUUUCCUGCCCCCGAAUACCUUAGCAUGGGAUAAUGGAAUAGGACCCUGGACCUCCUAUUUUCCGUUGGUUUUGUUUACGUCGAGGUUUUAUCGUGGUGAUGAUUAAUAGGGAUAGUUGGGGGCAUUAAUAUUUUAUUGUAAGAGGUGAAAUUCUUGGAUUUAUGAAAGAUUAACUUCUGCGAAAGCGUUUGCCAAGGAUGUUUUCAUUAAUCAAGAACGAAAGUUAGGGGAUCGAAGACCAUCAAAUACCGUCGUAUUCUUAACCAUAAACGAUGCCCACCAACGAUUAGGAGACGUUGAAUACAAAACACCGCCGUUAAUCCUUUCGGGGGUUAAUGGUUGGUGAAUGACUCCCCUAGCAGCUUGUGAGAAGACUCCCCUACCAGCUUGUGAGAAAAA
rnacentral:rRNA from 1 species